rnacentral:lncRNA from 1 species
AUGCUUAUUUGUGGCACAUUAUCUUUGAUCUGCCGUGUUGUCUCUGCCACUAGGUUAGGGAAGGGACAAUUCCCACGGGAUUCAGGAGCCGAUCAGGUGUGGCAGGUCUCGUCCUCCUCCCUGCUCCACAGUGUGUCUUGGCCCGGCAGGAGCGGCCGGCCUCCAGGACCCCUCUCGACUCGCUCCCAGAAGACCCCUGGCUCCGCAGAAACAGGAAACGAAAUCCCAAGCACAGUCGUGAGCGGAGCGUGAAGACGUUUGUACGGUAAACCUGGACUGUGUGGACACACAAAGCCUGUAGCAACAUGGACGAGUUGGUGGCGGCCAAAUGCUCGCAGAUCGAUACUUUUUCAUGAUGGUUCCACUGAGUGACUACCCUGUCCUCUGAGCUCUUGACCCAAACAUGAAAGCGACACGCUCUUAAAGACAAUGACGUCUCAGUGAUGGCGGUGCUUAAAGAAAAAAAGAAAAGGCUUGUGUGUCUGUCCAGAAAGCAGCCGGGGCCGCUCGGUCCCUGGGGACGGGCAGGCGAAAGCCAGACGAGCGGCUGUAACUCAAAGAAAUUGUCAGAAAAUGCAGCGGAUGAUGGACUUUGUCAAUGAUCAUUUUUCUAAUGCAUAUAUAUGUUUUAAAGGCUUCUGAGGCGGCCAAUCUCAUAAAUGAGCAAUAUUUAAAAGCGCAGGGCAGCGAGACUUGGGCUGUGAUGAGAUAUUGGUAAGCCCGUGUGGAAAGGUUAAUGUUACCCACAGAACGUGCUAAUGGUUCGGGUUUGACAAUGGCCCGUGGGAGUGUGGCGAAGACCUCACAGAAUCUAACUCAUUGACACAUAAAUUGUACAUUUUCAACAAUUUCAUUAUCAUCCACGCCAUCUUACUCUGGCAUAUAUCAACAGGGCUGACGUGGAUGGUUUUAUUUUUCUUGGUUUUCCCCUUAACUCACGGGCCUGAGAGGAUAUUGAUCUUUCAUCUUUGCAGUGGAGGAAUCACGUUAUUGCUGAUGGAGAAUAAAGUGCCACAGCCAUAUGGAAAUGAAAGCA